rnacentral:rRNA from 1 species
UACGAAGGGGGCUAGCGUUGUUCGGAUUUACUGGGCGUAAAGCGCGUGUAGGCGGGGCGUUAAGUUGGGGGUGAAAUCCCGAGGCUCAACCUCGGAACUGCCUUCAAAACUGGCGACCUGGAGCAAAGAAGAGGCGAGUGGAAUUGCGAGUGUAGAGGUGAAAUUCGUAGAUAUUCGCAGGAACACCAGUGGCGAAGGCGACUCGCUGGUCUUUUGCUGACGCUGAGACGCGAAAGCGUGGGGAGCAAACAGG